rnacentral:rRNA from 2 species
AGCAGCCGCGGUAAUUCCAGCUCCAAUAGCGUAUAUUAAAGUUGCUGCAGUUAAAAAGCUCGUAGUUGAAUUUCGGGACCAUCAUGUCGGUCGUGCCUCGGUACGUACUGGCAUUGUUGGUUUCUCCCUUCUGACGAACCAUGAUGUCAUUUAUUUGGUGUUGUGGGGAAUCAGGACUGUUACUUUGAAAAAUUAGAGUGUUUAAAGCAGGCUCACGCUUGAAUACAUUAGCAUGGAAUAAUGAAAUAGGACGUUUGAUUCUAUUUUGUUGGUUUCUAGGAUCGACGUAAUGAUUAAUAGGGAUAGUUGGGGGCAUUAGUAUUCAAUUGUCAGAGGUGAAAUUCUUGGAUUUAUUGAAGACUAACUACUGCGAAAGCAUUUGCCAAGGAUGUUUUCAUUAAUCAAGAACGAAAGUUAGGGGAUCGAAGACGAUCAGAUACCGUCGUAGUCUUAACCAUAAACUAUGCCGACUAGGGAUCGGAUGAUGUUAAUUUUUUAAUGACUCAUUCGGCGCCUUAAC